rnacentral:misc_RNA from 1 species
GAUGAAGAACGCAGCGAAAUGCGAUACUUGGUGUGAAUUGCAGAAUCCCGUGAACCAUCGAGUCUUUGAACGCAAGUUGCGCCCGAAGCCAUUAGGCCGAGGGCACGCCUGCCUGGGUGUCACACACCGUUACCCUCGCGCCAACGUCCAUCGUUGGCCGCGGCGCGGGGCGUGCGCUGACCUCCCGCGAGCGGGGUCUCGUGGUUGGUUGAAAAUCGAGUUCGCGGUCGAGGGUGCCGUGAUGAAAUGGUGGAUGGGCGACGCCCGAGGCCAAUCACGCGCGACUCUGUCCGGCUAGGACUCCUGGACCCCUUCGGCGUCUCCGGACGCUCUUUGGCGAGACCUCAGGUCAGGCGGGGCUACCCGCUGAGUUUAAGCAUAUCAAUAAGCGGAGGA